UGAAGGUUCUAGCCAUGACGCACCUUCUUUGGCGAUCGGUUUUAGCGAUUCUGUGCUGCCGAUGCAUUUUAGCGCAAUCCUCUUCAGUGGCAAUUGAUAAGCGUUUAGUGUUGUCUUCCGUGUAUGAUGCCAUUCGUGGAAACAGUAUCAUCGAUCCUGCCAACAGCCUCGAAUCCGUUGGGGAGGAUUCACGCAACAAACGAAACGUGCGAUACUACACGUACGACGAUCCGACAAACGAUGAUCUUUUCCCCGGGUAUGGUGAAAUCGUUCAUCCCCCACAAGCAGUAGGACCUGCGGCGAAGCAGUGCAAACCGGAACCACCACCGUCGGUGCAGUCCAUCAGCAUAUCGGACCACAGCUGGACCGGCAUCGGCUCAUCGAUCAUUCACCUGCUCAAGUAUCUGAUCGCCGGGUUGGCCAUACUGACGCUUCCCGUGCUGCUGCUGCAGGCGUUCAUUUUACCGUUGAAGAUUCUGAUGGGAUUAAAAUCGGUUGCCGUAGCGAAUACGCUCGUGCUCGGAACGUUCCUGUGGAAGUAUCUCAAUCGGCACCGGAUACGGGACGAGGAGGAUGAUGAUGACGAUGACGGUGAUGAUGGAGUGCAGCCGGCUGGUGCCGGUACACCCGAUGCCAGCGGGAAUGGUAUGCUUAACGGGAACGACAAUCGGUUCUUUCCCUUCCGGGCGGAGGAUUUCGAAAACAUGACGGAAGAGGAGAUUAAGACGGCGUUGAAACUGUUGCUAAAACGAAAUAAACGCUGGUGAAGAUGAAUGGCGGUAAUUGGCUGUUGAUAUCGAUGUUACUUUACUCACCUGGACAUCAUCGGAAGAGAAUUCUGAGCUACUGGAUGUUGUACUUUUCCCGGCAAUCGUCUUGGUCCAAAGCCGAUCUUGGGGCAAGUCUUGGAAAGAAGUGAUUCUUCU